ACCUGCAGUAAGGCAAAGUCCAAAGUGGAACUGUGGCUGACGGUUAAGGCAAAUUAUAUUGUCAGGUAAGCAAAGUCAGGAACAGUCUAGCAGAGAGACACAAAAUCGGGAUCCAGGAGUAGAGGACAGGCAGACAGGGCCGGACUGGCCCACCGGAAUACCGGGAAAUUUCCCGGUGGGCCGUCGGCAUCUGGGGCCGGGGAGACAUUUGGGUGACCUGCGGCUGCAGGGUGAGCUUGGAUGGCGGCCACAGGGGGGGCUCUUCUGGC